UGGAUUUUUAAUAUGUAUUUUUAUGAAGUGUCUUUAAUGUGCUACAAGGAAAAAAGAAAGAAAAAAAAACAAUAAUUGAAUAAUGUAGUUCACUCUGCCAGGGGGUGUGUUUGGAAGAAUGGACGUUUGGCUAGCAAUUAGGGAGCUGAGCCGAGGGCUCAGGGGGCCAAGCCAAUGGUCUUUAUUGAAUUCAACAUAGUAGGACCCAAUGGGCUUGAGUCUGAAGCCUGGUAUGUGAGGGAAAAUGAGGGAAAGAGAUUCAGACUCAAAUCAUUCUCCACUCCAAACACAUGCUCUCUCCAUUUUUCAUGAUUCUCCCUCGUUGGAAAACCUUAAGAACCCUAGAACAUUCAAACAAAACUUAAAUGACCUAAAAUGGGAGUCAAAGUUGGAGACCUCGGCGCUUUAAUUCCCCACUUCAAAGCCUACAUCCUAGUAACCAAAUUGAAGCAAAAUAAGGAGGAAAUGAAGAUCCUACCAACAGGGCGGAGAUUUUCCAUGGGAGAUGUUGAAGAGCUUGAAGACACAACUGGAGAGAAAAUGCCAGAGGAAGUAUAACCAGGUAAGCGUUUCACACUUCACUUCUUGCAACUUCUCUUCCUUCUUCUUCUUCUUUUUCUGAACUUAGUCUGUAGGGAAUUAUUGUGUGUUCUUGUUAUUGAGUGAAGAGAGUGUAGAGAUGACGAGGUUAAGCUCUACUGAAGUAAAACUUCAAGGUGAAGUUUUUCUCAAUAAUGGAGGAUUGAGAGCUUUGAGUGUGUUGGUGAGGUUGUGAGAGAGAGUGGAGAGAAUUUGUAGAGUGGGGGUGAUGGUGAAGAGUGAGUUCAGAGUGAAAGUGAUCCUCCUCAAUGAUUGCAAUAGGAGGGUUUAAAUAGAGGUGAAAAUGCCAACUGAAUUGGGAAGCUAUUAGAGCAAGGUUGGUUAGAGGUUUGUCCAGUUGUGAAAUUGGAUGGAAUUUUAGCUUGGUCAGUAGUUAUGAUGACUAACAAUGUUAGUUUGAUAGUUAGUAAGUUUAAACUUUUACAGUUAGGUUAGUUAACUUGAAUGUUGAACUAUUAGUGAGAAAUGUUAAGUAGUUAGACAAAGUUAGUAGAGGUUUGUUAUGAAACUUUGACAAUUACUUGUUAGGUUAGCUUUCUGGUAUAGUUCAAAAUCUGGUUAGUUUGUAGUUAGUAGUUAGUUGAUGUUAGGGGUUAGUAAAAUCAAUUGGUUAACACAAUUAGGAUUUUAAUUUUUAAUUAGAAGUUAGAGGUGAAUUGAAUUAACUAUUAGAAUUGGUUAGGUUAAAACAAAUGUUAGUUAAAAAUGUUAGUAGUUUGUUAGAAAGAAUUGGUACUAAUUAAGAGCUUAUGACAGUUGGAUUAUUGAUGGGAAAUUGAAACUGAUUGCAGGCUGCUAUGGUGUUGGUCCUGACAAUUCAAUUAUUGGUUAACUCAUAAAGUGAAUGGCAGCUUGGAUUUUUAACAAUUGGUUGUUGAGCUGGUUUGUUAUAUUGUUAAGUGGAUAAUUGCACAGUUAGGGUUAUUAUGGUUAGGAGUUAGGAAUUAGAUUAAUGCUAUGAAUUGGUGGAAUUAAAUAUUAAUUACGUUUGGUCAUGAUAGUGAGUUUGUGUAUUGCAUAUGUGUGCUACUAAGUGUUGGAUGUGUGUAUCUAUUGCUGAAUUUUAAAGUAUGGACUAUGUGUAUGUGUGUGCAUAUUGAUUAUCAUGACUUAACUUGGCAUGUGUGGAUGAGAUAUGGGCCAAGGUAUAACAUGUUUCGGGUGUGUAUGAUGCUGACAUUGCUAAGGAUUUUUUGUUGGGUUGCUACAGGUUUGGCAUGGUGAGCAUGAGGCUUUGGACAUGGUAUGGCUUAGCAAGUCAUGACACAUCAAGAUGGAAGCUAGGCAUGAAGAGAUUCUUGAAGAAACUUGGAGGCGCACAUUGAGGAACAUGAGGAUGAAGAGAAAAACUGGGCUUAGGAUUUUAGUUUGACUUUGGUCAACUGUUGUACCAAAAGUCAAUCUUAGGUGAAAAAUGGCUUUUCUUGUAUAAUUUGGUAAUUUUGGUUUUUGUAAUGUAUUUUUGAUGUUGUAAUUGAAUCUUGUCCCUUUGAAAUGUAAUUGUAACUUGUUUCUCAAGAAAAUUACUUUUUCCCCCAAUUUGAAAUAUUUGAAAUUUGCAAUCCUUUGAAUUCUU
rnacentral:lncRNA from 1 species